GUACUCAUGCUUCAGAAACUCUCAGAACAUCUGAGUAGACAGGUUGGCUAAAGAGGCCAAGUAAUCAUGUCUCUGCUCCUAAAAUCUUGAAAGAUCAAGCAACAUGUCAAGGCACAGAAGAGUAUCCUGCAAAAAUCCUGAACGUAAAGUGCCUCCAAGCAGGAGGAAUAAAAGGUGCAGGGUCAUUUAUGAUUCACCUCUGAAAAAGAAGAAUGGAUAUGUCCGUGUUUGUGCUACGUACUAUUACUGGAAAGAUGGAAAAAAAUAAAAUUUCCAGUGCUGAAUGAUUCCAUCAUUCCCGUCAGUUAAUAACUGCCACCAUGCAACUUUCAAGAUAAGAAAACCCAUUGGAUAAGCCAUCAGUGAGCUGAAAAGUCUGUAAGAUUGGGGAGCAGUUCCUGACCUGCCUGCCAUUAAACUCAUAAAACUGCAUUGUC